UACAGAGGUGGCAAGCGUUGUUCGGAAUUACUGGGCGUAAAGGGCGCGUAGGCGGCCAACUAAGUCGAACGUGAAAUCCCCGGGCUCAACCCGGGAACUGCGUCCGAUACUGGUUGGCUUGAAUCCGGGAGAGGGAUGCGGAAUUCCAGGUGUAGCGGUGAAAUGCGUAGAUAUUCGGAAGAACACCAGUGGCGAAGGCGACUUACUGGACACAUAUUGACGCUGAGGUGCGAAAGCGUGGGGAGCAAACAGG
rnacentral:rRNA from 1 species